CCAGACUCCUACGGGAGGCAGCAGUGGGGAAUAUUGCACAAUGGGGGAAACCCUGAUGCAGCGACGCAGCGUGCGGGAUGACGGCCUUCGGGUUGUAAACCGCUUUCAGCAGGGAAGAAGCCUUUAUCGGUGACGGUACCUGCAGAAGAAGUACCGGCUAACUACGUGCCAGCAGCCGCGGUAAUACGGAGGGUACAAGCGUUGUCCGGAAUUAUUGGGCGUAAAGAGCUCGUAGGUGGUUGGUCACGUCUGCUGUGGAAACGCAACGCUUAACGUUGCGCGUGCAGUGGGUACGGGCUGACUAGAGUGCAGUAGGGGAGUCUGGAAUUCCUGGUGUAGCGGUGAAAUGCGCAGAUAUCAGGAGGAACACCGGUGGCGAAGGCGGGACUCUGGGCUGUAACUGACACUGAGGAGCGAAAGCAUGGGGAGCGAACAGGAUUAGAUACCCUGGUAGUCCAUGCCGUAAACGUUGGGCACUAGGUGUGGGGGACAUUCCACGUUCUCCGCGCCGUAGCUAACGCAUUAAGUGCCCCGCCUGGGGAGUACGGUCGCAAGGCUAAAACUCAAAGGAAUUGACGGGGGCCCGCACAAGCGGCGGAGCAUGCGGAUUAAUUCGAUGCAACGCGAAGAACCUUACCAAGGCUUGACAUACACCAGACCGUUCUGGAAACAGUUCCUCCCCUUUGGGGUUGGUGUACAGGUGGUGCAUGGUUGUCGUCAGCUCGUGUCGUGAGAUGUUGGGUUAAGUCCCGCAACGAGCGCAACCCUCGUUCUAUGUUGCCAGCACGUAAUGGUGGGAACUCAUAGGAGACUGCCGGGGUCAACUCGGAGGAAGGUGGGGAUGACGUCAAAUCAUCACGCCCUUUAUGUCUUGGGCUUCACGCAUGCUACAAUGGCUGGUACAGAGAGAUGCGAGACCGCGAGGUUUUAGCGAAUCCCUUAAAGCCAGUCUCAGUUCGGAUCGUAGUCUGCAAUUCG
rnacentral:rRNA from 1 species